rnacentral:rRNA from 1 species
GAUGAACGCUGGCGGCGUGCCUAAUACAUGCAAGUCGAGCGAACAGAUGAGGAGCUUGCUCCUCUGACGUUAGCGGCGGACGGGUGAGUAACACGUGGAUAACCUACCUAUAAGACUGGGAUAACUUCGGGAAACCGGAGCUAAUACCGGAUAAUAUAUUGAACCGCAUGGUUCAAUAGUGAAAGACGGUUUUGCUGUCACUUAUAGAUGGAUCCGCGCCGCAUUAGCUAGUUGGUAAGGUAACGGCUUACCAAGGCAACGAUGCGUAGCCGACCUGAGAGGGUGAUCGGCCACCCUGGAACUGAGCCACGGUCCAGACUCCUACGGGAGGCAGCAGUAGGGAAUCUUCCGCAAUGGGCGAAAGCCUGACGGAGCAACGCCGCGUGAGUGAUGAAGGUCUUCGGAUCGUAAAACUCUGUUAUUAGGGAAGAACAAAUGUGUAAGUAACUAUGCACGUCUUGACGGUACCUAAUCAGAAAGCCACGGCUAACUACGUG